AAAAACAAGAAAACGGGGUCGCGGGUCGGGGAUUUCAAUUCUCAUCGUUGCGUUUAACACAUGAUACUUCAUAUAUAAUUUUUCAUUCCGUCAGCACCUUACACUUUUAUCUCCGUUCCUACAUCCCUUAUUCGCCCGUCCUUUCUUUAUCCUGCACGCUGAAAAGGAUUUCGCAGAUAGCAUACCGACUGUCCUGCCGUUGAAAUAAAUUGUAUUUUGAAUAAGUUCAGACCGUUUACAAAAUGAACGUUUUUAUAUAAG